CACGUAGGGUGCGAGCGUUGUCCGGAAUUAUUGGGCGUAAAGAGCUCGUAGGCGGUGUGUCGCGUCGGCCGUGAAAACCUGCAGCUUAACUGUGGGCGUGCGGUCGAUACGGGCAUCACUGGAGUUCGGCAGGGGAGACUGGAAUUCCUGGUGUAGCGGUGAAAUGCGCAGAUAUCAGGAGGAACACCGGUGGCGAAGGCGGGUCUCUGGGCCACUACUGACGCUGAGAAGCGAAAGCAUGGGGAGCGAACAGG
rnacentral:rRNA from 1 species